rnacentral:rRNA from 1 species
GAUGAACGCUGGCGGCGUGCCUAAUACAUGCAAGUCGAGCGAAUGGAUUAAGAGCUUGCUCUUAUGAAGUUAGCGGCGGACGGGUGAGUAACACGUGGGUAACCUGCCCAUAAGACUGGGAUAACUCCGGGAAACCGGGGCUAAUACCGGAUAACAUUUUGAACCGCAUGGUUCGAAAUUGAAAGGCGGCUUCGGCUGUCACUUAUGGAUGGACCCGCGUCGCAUUAGCUAGUUGGUGAGGUAACGGCUCACCAAGGCAACGAUGCGUAGCCGACCUGAGAGGGUGAUCGGCCACACUGGGACUGAGACACGGACCAGACUCCUACGGGAGGCAGCAGUAGGGAAUCUUCCGCAAUGGACGAAAGUCUGACGGAGCAACGCCGCGUGAGUGAUGAAGGCUUUCGGGUCGUGAAACUCUGUUGUUAGGGAAGAACAAGUGCUAGUUGAAUAAGCUGGCACCUUGACGGUACCUAACCAGAAAGCCACGGCUAACUACGUGCCAGCAGCCGCAGUAA